rnacentral:lncRNA from 1 species
CCGAUUAUUCUAAAAGUAAAGAUAAAAUAAAAUAAAAGAUGUGACCGAGUCCUGGUUUUGGACCACCUACAUAUCCCGGGUUUAAAGGGAAUCAGGUCACAUGUAGUUCAAUGAGAUAAAAUGGUGAGAUAAAGAGUUAGAGUUCGAGUCAGGUUUCAUCGAGUUUACGGUUCACUCCAUUCUUCUUUUACAUUAAAAUGAAUAACAAAAAAAAUGAAAAAUACAAGUGAAAAUUACAAUCUCUAGAAUCUUGAUUCUAAUCUUCGUGACUUGAACUUGAAAAUUCACCCGAUUCUUCAGGCUGGAUCCUGGCUUGCUUUUCCUUCGCCCUGUUCUUCAGGCGGACUCCUGAACUUGAUUUUCUUCACCCUGUUCUUUAGGCGGGCUCCUGGACUUCCUUUUUUUUCACCCUAUUCUUCUGGCGGGCUCCUGGACUUAAAAUUUCUUCACUCUGUUCUUCAAGGCGAGCUCUUGGACUUACAAUUUCUUCACCCUAUUUUUUAGGCGGGCUCUUGGACUUUCUCUUUUCUUCACCCUGUUCUUCAGGCGGGCUCCUGGACUUUCUUUUUUCUUCACCCUGUUCUUUAGGUGGGCUCCUAGACUUCCUUUUUCAUCACUCUAUUCUUCAGGCGGGUUCCUGAACUUAUAAUUUCUUCACCCUGUUCUUCAGGCGGGCUCCUGGACUUACAAUUUCUUCACCCUGUUCUUCAGGCGGACUCCUGGAGUUUCUUUUCUUUUUUACCCUGUUCUUCAGGCAGGCUCCUGAACUUACAAAUUUCUUCACCCUGUUCUUCAGGCGGGCUCCUGGACUUCCUUUUUCUUCACCCUGUUCUUCAGGUGGGCUCCUGAACUUACAAAUUUUUGAUUUUUCAAAUAUGUUCUAUAACUGAGAUCCAGCAUAGUAUGCUGUAAUCAUGACUCUUACAUUGACAGAAGUAUGAAAUUGCAUCCUUUAUUUGAAAACUUUCUGUUUCUGUUUCAAACAAAAUAAAGACAAAUUGUGAGUUUUAAAAACACAUGGUGGUUGGUUUGUGGUAUUUGGCUCUUGAAUUGACCGUUUGCACUUGACAUGCUCAAAUCCUUUUCCAAUCAUUGAUAGAUAUCCAUUGACUUGUCACACUUCUGAACCGAAAUUCUAACUACUGAGAUUCUCAACUCAAAGGACAUUUCUCUUGUAUAAUAUCUCAGAAUUUAACAUUCCAUACACCCUUUAUCUUUCAACGAGUCAAAACUAUCAAAUCAUAAUCAUUCUGAAUACUUUAUUAUACUUUGAAAUAUUGUCCUUGUACGUUGACCCUUUGUCUUGCUUUUUUCCAUUAAAUAAGUUGAUAGCAAGUUUGAAAUCAUUUCUCACUAGACCUGACAUGAAUUUGACUCAAAAACACAUACAAGACAACAAAAUUUUCGUUUGAUGACAAGGACACAAAAAUAAAAAAUUAAAAUAAAACAAAAAGAAAAAAGACAAUAAUUAUCUCUUUUUUAAAACCAAAAAAACUUAUCUGAACGUGGAAAUCGAUUCUGGUGAUUAUGAAAUGCAUUUUGAAUCAAACAACCAAAUCUAUCCACACCAAUCAUUACAAUUUUUUGUCCAUUAAUUGAGCUUGAAAUUUAGCCAAUCUUGAACUUGUUCCUUCUGGAUAACAACUCUCCUUCGGCUAGUGGCACCUCAAUGAGUUUUUGCCAACAAGCCUAUCUCAUUUUCACUUCUUUCUCAGCUUACAGUCGCCUUAUGGUGCCCAACAGAGUUUUCACCAAUGAAACUCUCUCUUUUUCAUUCAUUUUUUUUAAAUAAACACCUAAAAUAUGAAAUAUCAUGCACUCAUAAUAUGUUUAGCCUUGACAUUCUCAAAGAUUGAUCUAAAGGUCUUUCUUUGAUUGUAACUUGGCUUUUGGAUAGGGUUAUAAAGAAAGGUCGGUAUGAGGCUCAAAGUUUACACAAAAUUGGGUAAAACAUUCAACUUUUGGAAUCGAUUCUUUUAAGAAAAUAAACUUUGCCCCAAUUUUAUUUCAUUCUGGGUAUUUGAUUUUUCUUUUGGUUGGACCGAACCCCGAAGUAGGGUUGCCUACGUAUCUUGUCAUAGCAAGAACCAGGUCAAACGUAGUUCAGGAAAGUCAUUCUCUUUUUUUUUUUAAAUGAACCUGGACUCUCAUUUUUCUUUUCUUUGAUUCUUCUCUUUUUGGGAUUCAUUUUUUUUUCAAGUCCACUUUUUUUUUUUACUCCAUUUUCUUCUUGAUAUUUUUUCUAACUUCAUUUUUUCUUGACAUUUUUCUGACUCCAUUUUUUUUACACUUUUUUUUUUUUUAUUUUUCAAACUCUAUUUUGAUUCCAAAAGAGGGGUAUGAAAUAAAGUAAACCUAAAUUCAAAAGGGGUAACAAAGAAUGACAUAAUAUUUGGAAAGCAGAAUGAAAUGCAUUCGUCAUAUCAAUUCUUAAAAAUAGAAGAACAAAACAUGCAAUCUGAGGGUGAAACAUGAGAUCAUACACAUCUUUUCAACAUUGACCUUCACUAAGAAUAUGCACAUGUGUCACUUCUUUCAUGCUUAUGAAACAUACAAGUUAAUUAUGUUGUACUUUUUCCACACGAAUGACUCAUGUCUCUUUGGGAGCUAACUUUCUUUCAUUUUUCCUGACGAUGGAGAUUAUAUAUCCUCUUAUUGAUCCCAUAUAUUCAAAAUUCUUGAAUUAGAUCUUCUAAUUGAUGAGCAAGUCAUUUUUUAUUUGCAAAGCAAUUGCUCUAAUUUCAUCUAUAUUGCGAUUUGACUUAUUCUCAAACUGUUUGAAAUCUUUUGCUUAUAUUCUCAAAUACUUCCUCUUCAUCGUAUUCAAUCUCUUUAUUCAUUAUUUCAUAAUUAGAUUGGUUUUUAAGAUUUGAUUGAUAAUUCUUCAUGCAUGUCAUAUCAUUAGAAUCGACAUAGAAAGAACUAUAUAGUAGGAAAUAUAUAAGUAAAUAUUAGACACAAAAUAAAAUAAAGGGAAAUUAUGUUUCAUUAAAAAACAAAGAUAGACAAAGUUUUAACCUAAAAUACCAAGGUAAAAAUGUGAAUUACUACCCUAAAACGAUUCAAAUUGCAGAAAGACAAACAAACAAACUACCAAGACUCCUUCAUAGUAGGGAGAGGAGUGACCUCUCAAUUGUUAAUCAAAAGAAAAUGACUCUUUAUUAUUGGUCUGCGAAAAUAGAAGACCGGGUAAGAAAUUUUAUUGACCGAGAGGAAGGUGUAAGGAACCCCUCGAGUCCCGUGGUUCAAGCACGGUCGUUUUAUUGACUUAUCUUGACUUAAAUUAUUUUAAUAAAUUAUGUUAUGGCCUAAAAUCAAUCAUUUUUAAUUAUAUCAAAUACUUAUCUAUUAUUUCAUAUUAAAUAAAUCGGUGAAAGUUUAAAAAAAAUUGUCAAAUUGAUUUUAGAAAAAAGUAUUUGCCAAGGUAUAUUUUUUACAUCCUUAAAUUUUAAAUGUCUCGAAAAGAUGCAUACACCGCAUUCUUAAUUGAGAUAAAGUUUAGUUAUGCCUAAAAUUUAUUUAAUAUUAAAAACCAUUUAUUUAUUUAUUCUAAAUGUUAUUUAACUUAAACAAUAAAAUUGAGUAAAAUUCAUUUAAAAGGAUAAAUAAUUUAAUAAAUAAUUAAUAAAUUUUAUUAAUAAUAAAUUUUAUUAACAAUAAUAAUAAUAAUAAUAAUAACAUUACCAAUUAUUUACUAAGAUUCCCUAAGUGUUGUAUAUAAAAUCACGUCAUAUAGACUAAACUAAAUUAAACAUGAAAAAUUCUUAAUGUAAUUAGUAUAAUAAAAUUACAAUAAUAAAAAUAAAAAUAAAAAAAAUCUACUAAAUAACAGAUUUCAAUCUAACUUAUCAAAUACUUUACACUUUAUAAUUUUUUUUAAAAAAAAAAAAUUGGAUAAAUAUUACAUGAACCCACUUAAUAAGAGGAAUCAAAACAUAUCCACAAUUGCAUGUUACUUUUUAUCUUAAAUGAAUAAAAUAUAUUUUUUGUUAUCUUAAUUAAAAAUUAAAUUAACUAAAAUCGAAUAUUCACAUUCUUUACCAUUUUUCAUUAACUGCCGCUAAAUUCAUCUUCCUAAGUCCCAGCGCCACCGAGGAAUGACCUUCUCGGCCAAAUUUAUUACGAUCAAGAGAGAGGGAGCGGCGUUGGUAGCAAUUUUCUAGAGUGGUUUUCGGCGAUUUUGGUGGUGGAUCAGUGAGGGCUGACGGAAAACGGUGUCAACGGUUUGAAUGGUUCACCUUGAUUGCCGGUGGUUUUGCCGGCGAAAUGAAACAGCCGCGCACGAGGUUAAUUCUAGCGCAUCUGGGGUAUCUUGGUGGCUGUUCGGAGAUUUUCGGUGUGGACUCACUGGAAAAACUCAUUAGAUUAAAUAUUCACCAUCCAUUCCUCUACUUUCUGAUCUCUCUCUCAUUUUUUAUUGUUGUUUUCUCCUCCGUUUUACUAACUUUUCGUCAAUAAUUUUUUACUGUGUUUGUGCGUGUGACAGUAUGUGAAUGUGUUUUCGGAUUGAUGUGUGUGCUGUGUAAAUUGUUAUGAAUACAGAAAACAUAAAAUAUGUGAUAUGGUGUAUGAAUUAUUGAUUGAAAAUAAGAAAAUAUUAUGGGUGAGUGUACAGUGUGUGCAUUUUUUAUAUUUUUUUGUCGGUAAGUACAUGCAUAUAUUAGUAUAUAUUGCUACAUUUAUUUUUCUUGAUUCAGUACAAUAAACAAAUAAUAUCACAUGAUAAACAAUGAAAUCAUUAACAUAAACUUAAACAUGUUUUGAUUUACUGUGAAAAUUCAUACAAUAAAUAACAUAAACUCGAAUAAGAACCUGUUUAUGAACUAAAGCAGAAAACUUGAAUAUCGUCAUCGAAAAUUUGAACACCAAUCUGACUUCAAUUUCACACUUUAUCUCUCUUUAUUGUCUGAUUUUUUUGAGUUUUUCCCUCACUCUUUUUUUUACUCUGUGUUUCUCGGUGUACUUUUUGUCUUUUUUUUCUCUGUUUCAGUGUCUGAUGUCUGUUAGAUCAAAUGUACGUUCUUU